rnacentral:misc_RNA from 1 species
UCCGGUUUGGCACCGGCAGUCUCCCUAGAGUUCCCGGCAUCACCCGCUGGCAACUAAGGACAGGGGUUGCGCUCGUUGCGCCACUUAAGGCAACACCUCACGGCACGAGCUGACGACAGCCAUGCAGCAUCUGUGCACGCUCCCUUGCGGGUCCUCGCCCUUUCGGGUCCGUACCACGUGCAUGUCAAGCCCAGGUAAGGUUCUUCGCGUUGCGUCGAAUUAAACCACACGCUCCGCUGCUUGUGCGGGCCCCCGUCAAUUCCUUUAUGUUUUAGUCUUGCGACCGUACUCCACAGGCGGGAUACUUAACGCGUUAGCUUCGCUACUGAAGGGGUCGAUACCUCCAACAGCUAGUAUCCAUCGUUUACGGCGUGGACUAC